AAACAUUAUCCCUCCAAAAUGUGGAAGAUGAAUUGAACGGCAAGAUAUUUAACAGUCAAAUAAAAAGGCUAUUCACAAAAAAAUUGGAUGCAACGCAGAAAUUAUCCAUUUUGUCUUACCUGGAGAAACAAGAUGUGAUUCAUAAAUCAAUGGCAUCUACGACAGUCAAUAUUACAGAUGCGAAAAAGCGCACAAUUGAACAUCUUAGUUCAGGGGAAAAAGAAUAUCCAAGCAUGGCAAUGAAAAAUCCUCCCAUGAAAAAGAAUUAAAAGUUGGAACACUUUUGUUGUGAUUCUCGAAACAGUCAUUUUUUGCACUCUUUUGAUGCUGCCACUGUAUGUCGUGUUUUGCAAGCUUUUGAUGUUGCUAUGUGGAUGCCUUAUGUUCCUGUUCUUUUGCGGAAAUUGAAAAUAUUUUCUCCUAUAAUAGCAGGAGAUUUUGAUCAAAGAUGAUCCAGAAAAUCCAAGCAUGAAAGAUGCAUCUAUUUUUGUCUAAUUUAAAAUGCUAUGUAAAUGUAUGUAAUUAGCACUCCCACAUAAGAAAAUGUUAAACUAUGUAAGUAUCUCACUGAAUAUAUAAUGAACAAAUUUGGCAGCUAUAAUGUGUUUAUCCAUUAUAAAUACGCUAUUGUUUGAAAUCGAAAUGUACAUGGAAAGUAGCCACAAUGUUUUAUGGCUAACAUGUAUUCGUAUGUAUGGAACUAAUUCCAAACUGACAUUUUAGUAUUGAAGGGGAUUUUCAUCUUGGUUAAGGAAUCUUGGUGAAAUGUAUUGUCUUGCUACUGUAUAAUUUUGUGUUUUGUUGCAAACCCCUUUUACUCUAUUGG